UACGUAGGGUGCAAGCGUUAAUCGGAAUUACUGGGCGUAAAGCGUGCGCAGGCGGCUUUGCAAGACAGAUGUGAAAUCCCCGGGCUUAACCUGGGAACUGCAUUUGUGACUGCAUGGCUGGAGUGCGGCAGAGGGGGAUGGAAUUCCGCGUGUAGCAGUGAAAUGCGUAGAUAUGCGGAGGAACACCGAUGGCGAAGGCAAUCCCCUGGGCCUGCACUGACGCUCAUGCACGAAAGCUAGGGGAGCGAAUGGG
rnacentral:rRNA from 1 species